rnacentral:rRNA from 1 species
UACGUAGGGGGCAAGCGUUGUCCGGAUUUAUUGGGCGUAAAGAGCGCGUAGGCGGCCAUUCAAGUCCGUUGUGAAAACUCGAGGCUCAACCUCGAGAUGGCGUUGGAAACCGACUGGCUAGAGUCCGGAAGAGGAGUGUGGAAUUCCUGGUGUAGCGGUGAAAUGCGCAGAUAUCAGGAAGAACACCUAUGGCGAAGGCAGCUCUCUGGGACGGUACUGACGCUGAGACACGAAAGCGUGGGGAGCGAACAGG